rnacentral:rRNA from 1 species
AUACGGAGGGUGCAAGCGUUACUCGGAAUCACUGGGCGUAAAGCGCGCGCAGGCGGCUAUUUAAGUUGGAUGUGAAAGCCUACGGCUCAACCGUAGAACUGCAUCCAAAACUAUUUAGCUAGAGUGUGAGAGAGGAAGAUGGAAUUAGUUGUGUAGGGGUAAAAUCCGUAGAGAUAACUAGGAAUACCAAAAGCGAAGGCAAUCUUCUGGAACACUACUGACGCUGAGGCGCGAAAGCGUGGGGAGCAAACAGCAUUAGAAACCCUAGUAGUCC